UUGCCCUACGGGGGGCAGCAGUGAGAAAUAUUGGUCAAUGGUCGGGAGACUGAACCAGCCAAGCCGCAUGAGGGAGGAAGGUACAGAGUAUCGUAAACCUCUUUUGUCAGGGAACAAAGGCGGGGACGUGUCCCCGGAUGAGUGUACCUGAAGAAAAAGCAUCGGCUAACUCCGUGCCAGCAGCCGCGGUAAUACGGAGGAUGCGGGCGUUAUCCGGAUUUAUUGGGUUUAAAGGGUGCGCAGGCGGUCUGUUAAGUCAGCGGUCAAAGCCCGGGGCUCAACCCCGGCCCGCCGUUGAAACUUGG
rnacentral:rRNA from 1 species